CAAUCGAACACCAAGCCUCCUCGUUCCGCCGCUCGCUCUCUCUCGCUUUUUCCACCGCCGCCGCUCUCCACUAUUCUCCACCGCCUGUUGCUCUCAAGCUCCAAGGAGGUAUAUACAGUUCGCGAUUCAAUCACAGUAAUAAAUUUCGGUGAUUGUUGAGUCUAGUCUUCUGAAACAGAAGGAUACAACAAGGUUGAUGUUGAUGCUGCUAAUAAGUAUGGUGUUGCUGUCGGAAAGUCACCGAGACUACAGCAGAGUUAGCAGCUUCACUCUCUUUAGCUGCAGCCAGAAGAAUUGUAGAAGUUGAUGAAUUCAUGAAGGGUGGCUUGUAUGAUGGAUGGCUUCCUCGUCCUUCGUCUACAAACUUUGGAGCAGGUCACAUUGGAUCUGCCUAUGCAAGAAUGAUGGUUGAAGGGUUCAAGAUGAACUUGAUCUACUUUGAUCUCUACCAGUCCACUCGUCUGGAGAAGUUGUUACUGCCUAUGGGUAC